ACAACAAUGCCAGCCGAAUGUGGCUGGGUUGGGGGGUAAUUCUCAAAAAUUCAGAGGGUGAUUUUGUCUUUUGAGGUCAAUUCCUCCCCCCUCGAUUUUGCUUUAUUUACAACAAAACCGUGGGAUAUGGGGCUGGGUUGGAACGUAGUUAUUAAAAGUUAGGAGGGUAAUUUUGUCCUGUGCAUUUGAGACGGAUUGGGGUGGGUUUGGGUUUGCUGUCAUUCAGUGAGGGUUUCGGGGAUGGGAGGCCAUGCCUCCGAUAGAGAGGGAGAGAGAGAGACAGAGCGAGAGAGAGGUGUGGGGAUCUCAGCGCCAUUGCUGCAGAUCCUCGAUUUCAUGAGUGGGAGAGGGGGGACAGUCAGAGAAAAGUAUGGGGGCCUGUAGUUAACGGGACACGAGUCUCAGGAGUAGAACCCAACCAGCUCUCAUCUCUCACUCUUCCUCUCUCUCCUACGCGAGCCCUCUCAUCUCUCACUCUUCCUGUUUCUGUCCUCCUCAAACCAUAGCAGCCACAGCUCCAUCUCUUCCGUUUCUCUCAUCCUAGAACAGAAGAAAUAUGGAAAAUCAGGGCUUUUUCAUUUGCUUCCACAGAUUUCUCGAGCUCCGGAUCGCUAGCCUCCAUAUGAAGGAAACGUUUAUCUUCUAAUUUUAGGGUUUUGUUUUGGGAGUUUGCAAACGCUUUCUGGGUCAGAAUUCAAAGAUUGUUGAGGAAUGGAUAUGGCUACGGCUUAGUUGUGAAUUAGUGGUGCAGCGGCAACUCCUAAGUUGCUAUUUAGUCAUGGCCUCCUGAGAUGAAAGAGCCAUGGGCGUGCAUGGCUGCUACUGUGUUUGCUUAGUGUGAGAGGCUGAUUUGCUUUUGGAAUUCUGGCCAAAUAGCCCCUUUAGACAAGAUAGUUGAAUUGAAGGAGAAAUAUAAGUUUCAUGUGUUAUUGGAUGAGAGUAACUCAUUUGGUGUGCUUGGAAAAUCUGGAAGAGGUAACUGAAUACUGUAGGAUUCCGGUUGAAAAAAUAGAUAUUAUUACUGGUGCAAUGGGACACGCAUUAGCCACAGAAGGAGGAUUUUGCACUGGAAGUGCUAGAGUCACCAAUCACCAACGAUUGAGUAGCUCUGGGUACGUCUUUUCUGCUUCUUUGCCCCCAUAUUUUGCGAGUGCUGCCAUUACUGCCAUUGAUAUCCUCGAGGAAAACCCUGGUCUGAUAACAAAGCUGAAGAAAAAUAUUGCCAUAUUAUGGAAAGGAUUGUCAGCUAUACAGGGCCUCUCAUUCGCUAGCAGUCCAGAAUCCUGAAUUGUCUUCCUCAGACUACAGAAAGCAGAUUCUGUGAAUCCUUUUCUGUCCUUUUCUGCCUCUCUACUUUUAAUUGUAAUGGUUGUGGUUAUGCAGUUGUUGAAAGAGCAUUCCAUCUUUGUGGUUGCCUCCAAAAAGUCAUCGCUUGAUAAAUGUCAUCUUCCAUUAGGAAUUAGAUUGUUCGUCUCCGCUGGCCAUAUGUAAUCCGAUCUGUUCAAGGCAGCUGCAUCCAUGAAAGGUGUUGCAGAAUUGGUGCUAGAUUAUAUAACCAAGCAGAUUGUCAUUUUCUGAAGGCGUUUUCUAUAGAGGUUUAGUUGAACAUGGAGACAAUAACCGAUUGCUUGAAGGCAGGAAUGUCUGGUAUUGCUCACCUGCAAAAUGAUGUAAACUCGCGAUUUAUGGUGGUUUUGAAUGGGUGACUUGCUCUUAUAAAGUUCUGGAACAUAAACUGCUUUGGAGCCAGCAGCACUCAGUAGCCAGAACAACGGCCUUUCUCUCCCUUAUCGGAAAAGAGGUACUUUCAGGGUAAACAAGAAGCUAAAGCAUAAUCAAAGGAUUUGUCGACCUAUUGUGGAAGGGUCAAAAAAUUGCAUCAUUACAAAGCGUAGGCAUGGGACUUACAAAUGACUCCUUUCAAGUGGUCUGGGCAUUACAUAGAGAAAGGCAGCUAAAGCUUGCAUGGGUUAUCACUGGUGUCCUCGAAGCAUGCCAUUCUUUGGGUGUCAUGCAUUGGGACUUAAAGCCAGAGAUUUUCUAUUUGUCAACCAGAAAGAGGAUGCACCACUUAAGACAAUAGAUUUUGGGCUCUCUGUGUUCUUUAGACCAGAUUAAAAUGGUACGAUUCUGCUUGAUGAUCGUGGAAGCCAGCGAUUCUGCUUCUACAAAAAAUGCACCGAUGUCGUUCCAGAUCACUACUCCAAACCUCCCGCAAACUCCAAAGCAGGUUUAUGAUUUUUAUUUUUUUUUAAUAUUUCAUUUCCUCCUUUUUUUAAUUUUUGAAUUACAAGAAAAGUUUGAAUUUGAGGUUCGGAUUUGAAGAUUACUGCUGCUUAUAGUUUUUAUUUGGUAUUUCAUUGUUUAGCUUACGAUUGUCAUCAGUUUUCUUAGAUUGAUGGAAUGUUUUUAUAAGAUAUUGCUUUUAAAAGGUUAUUAUGUUAUAUAUAAAUAUACUUUAUACUGUAAUGAAAUUUUAUAUGAAUAAUAUUUCAAUCAGAGAGAUACACGAAGAUAAAGACAGGUUGAGCAAUAAAAGCUAUAAGCCACAAGCGAUCAAGUAGUGUAUUUUGUGUUUCCCUUCCUCCAUUGGUAUGGGUAUGCUCUCUGUCUCAGUGUUGUGGGGUGAAAAGUUAUUUGAAAAUAAUGGAAAGAACAUUUUCUGCAUCGUGAUUCUUUAAUUGUAUGAUAAUGUUUCCAAUGUUUUAGAUUACAUUGAUCUGUAUUAUUUUAAAGUAUAUAUGAAGAUUAGUUUAUAGGUGUAUGCACUUAAAUUGGAUAUAUGGUAUUUUUCAGAUUAUUUGACAUACAAUUGCAUAUAAUCUCAAUUUUUCUCAUGCAAUUUUUGUCUGAGCUUCGGAAUCGUUGAAUAGGAUAAUUCAUACUUGGAUAGCUACAUCAGCACAAUUGGAGUUGAAUUUAUUAAAUGUCUUAUUCAUGUGGUUAAGGCUGGUGCAUUCAAGUCCCGCAGCAACGCGCGGGCAUUUUAGCUAGUGUGAAACAAAAUACGUCACUAGAUGUGCUGCCCUAUUAUAUUCUGGAAGAGAAAAAUAAAAUCUUUUGACCUCAGUUGUUUUUAAAAAUUCUAGCUUAAAUAUUAAACUCUUUGGUUCAAAUUAUGUUUAUUACUGUCUUAAUACUUGUAAAAUAUGGGACAUAUCAGACGACU